CAGCAAGUUUUAAAUACAAUGAAGAUAUAUCAUGAUUGAAAAGAAUGAAUAAGCUUUCAAGUUUUCAAUAAUAUAAUAAUUGUGAAAUAACAUGAAUCAAGUUUCAAUAAUUUCAUAACUGAAUCAAUAAUGUUUGAAGGUCAACAACGACCAUAAACAAUUUAACUGAACCUUAUGGUAAUGAAGGUGAUCAGCCUUCCAUACCUGAUGAACAUAUGCAACAUGCACUAAGUGCGAAUCAAUAAUCAGUUUAGACAUGAAUAAUCAUCAAUAAUCAUUCACUAACAUACUUUGAAAUAUAACUCGAGUUUGAG
rnacentral:lncRNA from 1 species